UUCUCUAAGGCAUUUGAUGAGAGGACUUGACAUGAUUGCUGAAGUAUGGAUUUGUUAAGGUUAGGUACAUAGUAGUUCAAGUCCUACAUUUCCUAGUCCUUACAUGGGAGAUAAUAAAGACCUAAUUAAUUUUAAUUAAAAUCUAACUAAAACAAGACAAACUAACCUUUUUGUGAAUAAGAGUAAUUUUUGGCUUUGUAAUUGCGUUCCUUGUUUAAGAAUGUGGGUAUGGCAUCACUUUUGCCUGCUUGCGGGAGACAGUGAUUGAACAUGAAAUCUGCUUCUAGUACCAAGCUGGUUCUCUGCAUUACCUUUUUAGACCACAUUGUCUGUCACUUCUUCUACUCGUCAAUAGGCCCUUUAUCAGACUUAGAAGAUGUUGAAUUGAUUUUAUCAGUUGGCCUUUAAUACAUGAAUAGAUAAUUAUUAAAUUCUUUUCUCAUAACUCCAACAUAUUAUAUUGACAAACUUAAUUAUUUUUUGGUUCAAAUGUAGAGAUUUCAUUUGUUAAUGUUAUGCCACUUUUGAUAAUCUUUUCUGCUUAGGUGUGGUUCAUGGGUGAGCAAUCACAUAUCUCAAUAGACUUUGACAAUAGGAUGGUAAGGAAGCGAGGCAACAUUCUCAAUCUUAGGACCGGUGGGUUCAAGGGGUGCUUAAAGAAGAAUCUCAUGGCUCAUCUUUUCCAGAUAUGAGUAGGAGGGUUUCUUCUCUCCAGAACCCUGUGACUAAUCCUGAUAUGUAUUCAACAACAUAAGUGACACUUCCAAGAGCCCAUCUUAUGGGUCCAAAGUUUGCUUGAAUAAUGUAAGCCAGGUUGGCUAAGGAAGCUACAACAGUGAGGCGUGUGGUUGAACCCCUUUUCCAUCAUUUUGAUGUAGAAAAUCAUGGGUCAUUAGAUACAGGAGUUGCCUAUUCUCUUAUAUUGUAUCUGCAGUUGCUUUUGGAGGAAUCAGGAGGAAGCUCCCACCUGUUGCUACCUAUCUUGAUCAAGCACUUGGAUCAUAAGAAUGUUGCCAAACAACCUCAUGUACAGAUUCAUAUUGUGGACAUUGCCUCACAACUUGCACAAAAUGCGAAGCUGCAGGCCUCUGUUGCUAUCACACAACUGUUUGUACUUAACAGGUUGGCGACGUGGGAGCCAUUCUUGAUAUGAUGUCUGGUUUGCUAGAGAAUAUUUCAAAUAAUAUUGUUAUUGCUAGUAACAACAAUCUUGGCUGUUCAUAGGACUGCUCAGAUUGUUUCUUCCAUCCCGAACAUAUCAUAUUACCAGAAGGCGAGUGUAAUUGUUGAAAUUAUAGUAUACUGUUCAGUUUUAAGAAAUUUGGAGAAACAUCUAAUU